rnacentral:lncRNA from 1 species
GCAAUCUCCACUCAUUGCAACCUCCACCUCCUGGGCUCAUGUGAUUCUCAUGCCUCAGCCACUCUAGUAGCUGGGACUACAGACACAUGCCACCAUGCCCAGCUAAUUUUUGUAUUUUUAGUAGAGACAGGAUUUCCCCACAUUGGCCGGGCUGGUCUCGAACUCCUGGCCUUAAGUGAUCCACUCGCCUCAGCCUCCCAAAGUGUUGGGAUUACAGGUACAAAAAAAGAAAAGAAAGAGAGAGAGAAAAAAAGAAAGAAAUGAACCUGGAACUGAUUACAUCUCAGAGUGACUCUGACACUCCUGUGAGAAGCAGAUCCCAUGUAACUGUCACUCUCUCCUUGAAUCUGGCAAGCUUGUGAUACUACAGAACUUCUAAGGCUUGGUCACAAAAAGUAAUGCAGUUUCCACCUGGUUCUCUCUAGAUGUUCACUCUUAGAAAACAGCCACCACCAUGCUGCAAAGAAGCUCAAAUUAGCCUAUCUGGGUAGGUAGGUGUUCUGAGGGACAAUCAACAUCAAUCACCAGCCAUGUGAGUGAAGAAGCCUCCAGGUUCUAAGUACCAGCCAUAAAGUCACCACCAGCUUUUGAAUCUUCCCAGCUAAGGCUUAAGCAAGCCAUCUGUGCAGAAACUGUCCUGUCUGAAUUCCAACAGAUCCAUAGCACAAUAAAAUGGUUGUUUUACACCAUUAUGUUUUGGAAUGGCUUGCUACAAACACAACAAAAGGUAACCAGAAAAAAAGUGCCCUUUCCCAGUUUGGUAGCUUUACAUUACACACAUACACACCACCCCUAAAAUCAAGUUUUUCUCAACUUUAAGGAAGGUCCAAUCCAAUGUGCAAUUUGGCAGACCUGUUUAAAUAAGACAGUUUCUACUUAGGAGGCUUAACAAUUCAUCUCAUAUAUACCCUGAAUACCUAUGAUAUGUAAGAUACUUUCCUAGAUUCCUAAGACACAAAGAUGAAUAACAUAUAGUCUGUAGUUAAAAGUUUACAAUCUAGGAAGAGAAUAAAAUGGGUACACACUAGUUUAUGAAAGUACCUAAGUGCCAAAAUAGGAUUAUAAAGUUAACUCUGCCACAAAUAGUUACAGCAUCAUUUUGGACUUAUAAACAGCUUUUGGGUCCUUCAGGAAAGUAGAUGGGCUUUAGUAAAUGCCUAGAAAAAGAAGACUGGGAAAAAAAAAACAUGAAAAAUGUGGGCCUCAUUAUGUUAUGUUUAGAUUGUGAGAUUAUGAGUGUUUUCUGUUCUCCUUUUAAAUUUCCUGUAUUUGCCAUGUUUUCUAUAGUAAGUUAUAUAUUAGAUUUUUUGAGGAAAAAAU